CCGUCCGGCGCUGCACGUCGCCGCCUCGCCUCCCAGCCCACUUCGCACUGGGAAGUGCCGGUGCAGCACGCGUGCUUGGCGAGACUAGUACUAGGAUGGGUGACCUCCUGGGAAGUCCACGCGCUGCGCGUU
rnacentral:rRNA from 1 species